rnacentral:rRNA from 1 species
GACGAACGCUGGCGGCGUGCUUAACACAUGCAAGUCGAACGGAAAGGCCCUGCUUUUGUGGGGUGCUCGAGUGGCGAAAGGGUGAGUAAUACGUGAGUAACCUGCCCUUGACUUUGGGAUAACUUCAGGAAACUGGGGCUAAUACCGGAUAGGAGCUCCUGCUGCAUGGUGGGGGUUGGAAAGUUUCGGCGGUUGGGGAUGGACUCGCGGCUUAUCAGCUUGUUGGUGGGGUAGUGGCUUACCAAGGCUUUGACGGGUAGCCGGCCUGAGAGGGUGACCGGCCACAUUGGGACUGAGAUACGGCCCAGACUCCUACGGGAGGCAGCAGUGGGGAAUAUUGCACAAUGGGCGGAAGCCUGAUGCAGCAACGCCGCGUGCGGGAUGACGGCCUUCGGGUUGUAAACCGCUUUCGCCUGUGACGAAGCGUGAGUGACGGUAAUGGGUAAAGAAGCACCGGCUAACUACGUG